UGAGGAAUAUUGGGCAAUGCCCGCAAGGGUGACCCAGCAACGCCGCGUGAAGGAUGAAUGUCGUAAGAUUGUAAACUCCUGUUAGAGGGGAAGAAUAGUACCGGUUGGACCGGUAUAUGACUGUACCCUCAGAGAAAGCCCCGGCUAACUACGUGCCAGCAGCCGCGGUAAUACGUAGGGGGCAAGCGUUGUCCGGAUUUGCUGGGUGUAAAGGGCGCGCAGGCGGGAUAAAAAGUCAGUGGUGAAAUCCUACAGCUUAACUGUAGAACUGCCUUUGAUACUUUUAUUCUUGAGUUCGGGAGAGAGAGACGGAAUUCCAGGUGUAGUGGUGAAAUACGUAGAUAUCUGGAAGAACACCAGUUGCGAAGGCGGUCUCUUGGUCCGACACUGACGCUGAGGCGCGAAAGCGUGGGGAGCAAACA
rnacentral:rRNA from 1 species